rnacentral:tRNA from 2 species
GCUAACGUAGCUUACCCAAAGCAUAACACUGAAGAUGUUAAGACGAGUCCUAGAAAACUCCGUGGGCA